UCUCCUUAGCAAAGUGCUAAUAAACACUGACAGAAGUAAACAGGGAACCUCUCCUCUGCAACCAGCUAGGUAACAUUUGCUACACUGAUUCUGUCUGCUUCAACUAUAUCUGAGGGACACAAAGCUGCUGGGUACUAAGAAAUCAAACUCAGUUUGUUUUCAUCUGUGCAACCAUGAGAAGAGUUUAGCUUCUCAUUCUGAAACCAAUUUGUGAGUUACAGGGGUUUUAUUGAUCUUUUGUAUUGUCUUCUCCCAUCAUCCUUUCCUGCCAAAGCAAAUGGUAUCUCCCUGAAGAGCAGCAUUUCAGCUAAUGGAGAGACACUGGAAGAAGGAAGAAUGAAGAAUGGAAAAAAUGGAAGAAGGAGGAAAGGAAGAAGCUGGCAGUGCUCCCACCCCAGUGUAGCUGGCAAAAAGUGAAGCUAAACCAUCCCCAGCUCCUCUGCUUGUUAAACAUGGGGGAAGAAGGGGAUGCAUCUGCUCCCAGGGUUUUGCAGAAGAUGUUGGGAAGCAUCCCUUCUCCAAGAUCCUUUCUGACAGUGCCACUUCCCAGCUCACACUCCUCAGUUCAUCUCUGGCACACAAGUCUCAGCUCAGCUUGAGGUGGGAACAGUUUGCCCUGUUGAGCAGGGAUAUAAAUGGGGGCUUAGCCAUUCAGGAACUGGAAGCCAGCUCUCUGGAUUUGCUCCUGAUGUUUGCCAAAUGCUUUCUAUUCACUGGAAGAUGAUGAAAAACAUUUCUGUGAGUUUGCAGCUGUCUAGUUCCUAGCAAGCCGUUAAUACAAGGGAUGAAGGGGAAACCCAAACCCCCAAACCAAAAUUCUGGACAACUUACAAACCUCCUCUAUAGCUUAAAUAGGGGCUUGGUCUAAUACUCCUAAUUGGCUGGAGCAGCCCUUACGAUUUCCCAGACGGUUACUUAAGUACAUGUAACCACUGCAACUGCUAUGCCUGUUAUUGUGCUGCUUUCCAGUCCUGCUGGC